rnacentral:tRNA from 1 species
AAAGUUUUAGUAUAAUUAUUAUUAGUAUAGUUUAUUGUCAAUAAGCAGGUUUAAACUUUAU